rnacentral:lncRNA from 1 species
AUAAACUCAAAAUCGCAUCUCAUUAAAUAAUACUUGCAGCUUUAGACUUGGGCAUUCUCUCAUCCUAAAGUCCUUCGGCUUAGAUUAAGAUAUUGCAUGAAUUUGGUGUGAAUCCCAUCUAAUAAUUGCCUACCACAUGAUAGGCUUUGGAGACCACAAAAUAAUCUACGUUAUAUAAUAUACCAUAGUUUAUGAUAUCUAUAGGUCAUAAAAAAAUAGUGACAGUUUGAAAAGGUGCAAGCAAGCAAGCAAAUAUCGCGGCGUCGAAAAGAAGGGAGGCAUUGUCCACUUCAGCAGAAGAAUAUAAUUACUUGGAAUCAAACCGAGGCGAAGAGGAUCACAGGCUUAUCCAAUUCCUUUUGAAAACAACGGUUUCGCACGCCUCAAUCUGUGGGCCCGCAUCCAUAUCUGCUGGCUUAAAAAUUUGAUCAUAUCUUUCUUUGAGUAAUAAUGGAGGAAGGAAAUAUGUACAAGGUUGUGGUUGCGUGAGUAAAAAGGAAUAUUUCCAACUUGUGGAUUUGAUAUCAGCUUGCAAAAGAAAAGGUUAAACUCCAACCCAUCAAAUUGGCAUCCACUUAGAAAAAGCUAGAGAUCAUUUGCUAUUUAUC